rnacentral:rRNA from 1 species
UACCUGGGCUUGACAUGCCGCGAGUAGGAAACUGAAAGGGGACCGACCGGUUCAGUCCGGAAGCGGAACAGGUGCUGCAUGGCUGUCGUCAGCUCGUGCCGUGAGGUGUUGGGUUCAGUCCCGCAACGAGCGCAACCCUCGCCCUCUGUUGCCAUCGGGUCAAGCCGGGCACUCUGAGGGGACUGCCAGCGACAAGUUGGAGGAAGGAGAGGAUGACGUCAAGUCAUCAUGGCCCUUAUGCCCAGGGCCACACACGUGCAACAAUGGCCGGUACAGACGGAAGCGAGACCGAGAGGUGGAGCAAAUCCGAGAAAGCCGGUCCCAGUUCGGAUUGAGGUCUGCAACUCGACCUCAUGAAGUCGGAAUCGCUAGUAAUCGCGUAUCAGCACGACGCGGUGAAUACGUUCCCGGGCCUUGUACACACCGCCCGUCACACCACGAAAGUCUGUUGUACCUGAAGUCGGUGCCCCAACCGGAAACGGAGGGAGCCGCCCAAGGUAUGGCCGGUAAUUGGGGU